CACGUAGUUAGCCGGGGCUUCCUCGUCAGGUACCGUCACCGCGCCGCCCUCUUCGAACGGCGCGCCUUCUUCCCUGACAACAGAGCUUUACGACCCGAAGGCCUUCCUCGCUCACGCGGCGUCGCUCCGUCAGGCUUUCGCCCAUUGCGGAAGAUUCCCUACUGCUGCCUCCCGUAGGAGUCUGGGCCGUGUCUCAGUCCCAGUGUGGCCGUCCACCCUCUCAGGCCGGCUACGCAUCGUCGCCUUGGUGGGCCGUUACCCCACCAACUAGCUAAUGCGCCGCGGGCCCAUCCGUAAGUGGCAGCCAAAGGCCGCCUUUCAACCGGAAGCCAUGCGGCCCCCGGUGUUAUCCGGUAUUAGCCCCGGUUUCCCGGAGUUAUCCCGGUCUUACGGGCAGGUUACCCACGUGUUACUCACCCGUCCGCCGCUGAGCCCGAAAAGGAGCAAGCUCCCCUCGGGCUCCGCCCGACUUGCAUGUAUUAGGCACGCCGCCAGCGUUCGUCCUGAGCCAGGAUCAAACUCU
rnacentral:rRNA from 1 species